rnacentral:rRNA from 1 species
AGGAUGAACGCUGGCGGCGUGCCUAACACAUGCAAGUCGAACGCGCUCCAUUCAGUAGCAAUACUGAUGAAGAGUGAGUGGCGAACGGGUGAGUAACACAUGAGCAACCUGCCCCGAAGACUGGGACAACACCGGGAAACCGGUGCUAAUACCGGAUAUCCCUAUCGGACCGCAUGAUCUGAUAAGGAAUGGAUUCCGCUUCGGGAGGGGCUCGUGGCCUAUCAGCUAGUUGGUGAGGUAAUAGCUCACCAAGGCAUCGACGGGUAGCUGGUCUGAGAGGACGAUCAGCCACACUGGGACUGAGACACGGGCCCAGACUCCUACGGGAGGCAGCAGUGGGGAAUCUUGCGCAAUGGGCGAAAGCCUGACGCAGCAACGCCGCGUGGAGGACGAAUGCUUUCUGAGUUGUAAACUCCUUUCAGCAGGGACGAUUGUGACGGUACCUGCAGAGAAGCACCGGCCAACUACGCGACCG